rnacentral:rRNA from 1 species
AGUGAACGCUGGCGGUAGGCCUAACACAUGCAAGUCGAACGGCAGCACAGUAAGAGCUUGCUCUUACGGGUGGCGAGUGACGGACGGGUGAGGAAUACAUCGGAAUCUACUUUUUCGUGGGGGAUAACGUAGGGAAACUUACGCUAAUACCGCAUACGACCUACGGGUGAAAGCAGGGGAUCUUCGGACCUUGCGCGAUUGAAUGAGCCGAUGUCGGAUUAGCUAGUUGGCGGGGUAAAGGCCCACCAAGGCGACGAUCCGUAGCUGGUCUGAGAGGAUGAUCAGCCACACUGGAACUGAGACACGGUCCAGACUCCUACGGGAGGCAGCAGUGGGGAAUAUUGGACAAUGGGCGCAAGCCUGAUCCAGCCAUACCGCGUGGGUGAAGAAGGCCUUCGGGUUGUAAAGCCCUUUUGUUGGGAAAGAAAAGCAGCGGGUUAAUACCCCGCUGUUCUGACGGUACCCAAAGAAUAAGCACCGGCUAACUUCGUG